rnacentral:rRNA from 1 species
UACGAAGGGGGCUAGCGUUGCUCGGAAUUACUGGGCGUAAAGGGCGCGUAGGCGGACAGUUUAGUUGGGGGUGAAAGCCCGGGGCUCAACUCCGGAAUUGCCUUUAAGACUGCAUCGCUAGAAUUGUGGAGAGGUAAGUGGAAUUCCGAGUGUAGAGGUGAAAUUCGUAGAUAUUCGGAAGAACACCAGUGGCGAAGGCGACUUACUGGACACAUAUUGACGCUGAGGUGCGAAAGCGUGGGGAGCAAACAGG